GCGUGAGGGAAGACUGCCCUAUGGGUUGUAAACCUCUUUUAUAAGGGAAGAAUAAGUUCUACGUGUAGAAUGAUGCCUGUACCUUAUGAAUAAGCAUCGGCUAACUCCGUGCCAGCAGCCGCGGUAAUACGGAGGAUGCGAGCGUUAUCCGGAUUUAUUGGGUUUAAAGGGUGCGUAGGCGGUUUAUUAAGUUAGUGGUUAAAUAUUUGAGCUAAACUCAAUUGUGCCAUUAAUACUGGUAAACUGGAGUACAGACGAGGUAGGCGGAAUAAGUUAAGUAGCGGUGAAAUGCAUAGAUAUAACUUAGAACUCCGAUAGCGAAGGCAGCUUACCAGACUGUAACUGACGCUGAUGCACGAGAGCGUGGGUAGCGAACAGGAUUAGAUACCCUGGUAGUCCACGCCGUAAACGAUGCUCACUGGUUCUGUGCGAUAUAUUGUACGGGAUUAAGCGAAAGUAUUAAGUGAGCCACCUGGGGAGUACGUCGGCAACGAUGAAACUCAAAGGAAUUGACGGGGGCCCGCACAAGCGGAGGAACAUGUGGUUUAAUUCGAUGAUACGCGAGGAACCUUACCUGGGUUUAAAUGGGAAAUGCCGUAUUUGGAAACAGAUAUUCUCUUCGGAGCGUUUUUCAAGGUGCUGCAUGGUUGUCGUCAGCUCGUGCCGUGAGGUGUCGGGUUAAGUCCCAUAACGAGCGCAACCCUUACCGUUAGUUGCUAGCAUGUAAUGAUGAGCACUCUAACGGGACUGCCACCGUAAGGUGAGAGGAAGGCGGGGAUGACGUCAAAUCAGCACGGCCCUUACACCCAGGGCUACACACGUGUUACAAUGGCCGGUACAGAGGGCCGCUACCAGGUGACUGGAUGCCAAUCUCAAAAGCCGGUCGUAGUUCGGAUUGGAGUCUGUAACCCGACUCCAUGAAGUUGGAUUCGCUAGUAAUCGCGCAUC
rnacentral:rRNA from 1 species